AGAGUUUGAUCCUGGCUCAGAACGAACGCUGGCGGCAGGCCUCAAACAUGCAAGUCUAGGGGGUGUAGCAAUACAUCACCGGCGGACGGGUGCGUAACGCGUGGGAAUGUACCUAUUGGUUCGGAACAACUGAGGGAAACUUCAGCUAAUACCGAAUGUGCCCUAACGGGGAAAGAUUUAUCGCCAAUGGAUCAGCCCGCGUUCGAUUAGCUAGUUGGUGGGGUAACGGCCCACCAAGGCGACGAUCGAUAGCUGUUCUGAGAGGAAGAUCAGCCACACUGGGACUGAGACACGGCCCAGACUCCUACGGGAGGCAGCAGUUGGGAAUCUUGGACAAUGGGGGAAACCCUGAUCCAGCCAUGCCGCGUGAGUGAUGAAGGCCUUCGGGUUGUAAA
rnacentral:rRNA from 1 species